CCCUUAGAUGUUCUGGGCCGCACGCGCGCUACAAUGAUGAAUUCAACGAGUUUAUAACCUUGGUUGAAAAGCCUGGGUAAUCUUUUGAACUUUCGUCGUGAUGGGGCUAGACCCUUGCAAUUAUUGGUCUCCAACGAGGAAUUCCUAGUAAACGCAAGUCAUCAGCUUGCAUUGAUUACGUCCCUGCCCUUUGUGCACACCGCCCGUCGCACCUACCGAUUGAAUGACUCGGUGAAAAAUCGGGACUGUGGUCUAGCUUGCUUAAUUGCAAACUUGACUGUGGGAACUUUCUUUAACCUAUUCAUUUAGAGGAAGGUGAAGUCGUAACA
rnacentral:rRNA from 1 species